rnacentral:rRNA from 1 species
GGCGUGCCGAACACAUGCAAGUACGAACGCGAAAGUCCCGCAAGGGAUAAGUAGAGUGGCAGACGGGUGAGUAAUGCAUAGGUAAUCUACCCUUGAGUGGGGGAUAACUCCGGGAAACCGGUGCUAAUCCCGCAUAAUUUCCGGAUGCACAAGUAUUCGGAUCAAAGGGGGGGAUCCUUCGGGACCUCCUGCCUGAGGAUGAGCCUAUGUCCUAUUAGCUAGUUGGUGAGGUAACGGCCCACCAAGGCUUUGAUGGGUAGCCGAGCUGAGAGGCUGAUCGGCCACACUGGAACUGAAACACGGUCCAGACUCCUACGGGAGGCAGCAGUGGGGAAUUUUGCGCAAUGGGCGAAAGCCUGACGCAGCGACGCCGCGUGAGGGAUGAAGGU